GACGAACGCUGGCGGCGUGCCUAAUACAUGCAAGUAGAACGCUGAAGAGAGGAGCUUGCUCUUCUUGGAUGAGUUGCGAACGGGUGAGUAACGCGUAGGUAACCUGCCUUGUAGCGGGGGAUAACUAUUGGAAACGAUAGCUAAUACCGCAUAACAAUGGAUGACACAUGUCAUUUAUUUGAAAGGGGCAAUUGCUCCACUACAAGAUGGACCUGCGUUGUAUUAGCUAGUAGGUGAGGUAAUGGCUCACCUAGGCGACGAUACAUAGCCGACCUGAGAGGGUGAUCGGCCACACUGGGACUGAGACACGGCCCAGACUCCUACGGGAGGCAGCAGUAGGGAAUCUUCGGCAAUGGGGGCAACCCUGACCGAGCAACGCCGCGUGAGUGAAGAAGGUUUUCGGAUCGUAAAGCUCUGUUGUAAGUCAAGAACGGGUGUGAGAGUGGAAAGUUCACACUAUGACGGUAGCUUACCAGAAAGGGACGGCUAACUACGUGCCAGCAGCCGCGGUAAUACGUAGGUCCCGAGCGUUGUCCGGAUUUAUUGGGCGUAAAGCGAGCGCAGGCGGUUUGAUAAGUCUGAAGUUAAAGGCUGUGGCUCAACCAUAGUUCGCUUUGGAAACUGUCAAACUUGAGUGCAGAAGGGGAGAGUGGAAUUCCAUGUGUAGCGGUGAAAUGCGUAGAUAUAUGGAGGAACACCGGUGGCGAAAGCGGCUCUCUGGCCUGUAACUGACGCUGAGGCUCGAAAGCGUGGGGAGCGAACAGGAUUAGAUACCCUGGUAGUCCACGCCGUAAACGAUGAGUGCUAGGUGUUGGAUCCUUUCCGGGAUUCAGUGCCGCAGCUAACGCAUUAAGCACUCCGCCUGGGGAGUACGACCGCAAGGUUGAAACUCAAAGGAAUUGACGGGGGCCCGCACAAGCGGUGGAGCAUGUGGUUUAAUUCGAAGCAACGCGAAGAACCUUACCAGGUCUUGACAUCCCGAUGCUAUUUCUAGAGAUAGAAAGUUACUUCGGUACAUCGGUGACAGGUGGUGCAUGGUUGUCGUCAGCUCGUGUCGUGAGAUGUUGGGUUAAGUCCCGCAACGAGCGCAACCCCUAUUGUUAGUUGCCAUCAUUCAGUUGGGCACUCUAGCGAGACUGCCGGUAAUAAACCGGAGGAAGGUGGGGAUGACGUCAAAUCAUCAUGCCCCUUAUGACCUGGGCUACACACGUGCUACAAUGGUUGGUACAACGAGUUGCGAGUCGGUGACGGCGAGCUAAUCUCUUAAAGCCAAUCUCAGUUCGGAUUGUAGGCUGCAACUCGCCUACAUGAAGUCGGAAUCGCUAGUAAUCGCGGAUCAGCACGCCGCGGUGAAUACGUUCCCGGGCCUUGUACACGCCGCCCGUCACACCACGAGAGUUUGUAACACCCGAAGUCGGUGAGGUAACCUUUUGGAGCCAGCCGCCUAAGGUGGGACAGAUGAAAGGGG
rnacentral:rRNA from 1 species